AGGGCCUGAACGAAGCAGCCAUAGCGGCC
rnacentral:SRP_RNA from 1 species